rnacentral:rRNA from 1 species
UUUAUGGAGAGUUUGAUCCUGGCUCAGGAUGAACGCUGGCGGCGUGCCUAAUACAUGCAAGUCGAGCGAACGGACGAGAAGCUUGCUUCUCUGAUGUUAGCGGCGGACGGGUGAGUAACACGUGGAUAACCUACCUAUAAGACUGGGAUAACUUCGGGAAACCGGAGCUAAUACCGGAUAAUAUUUUGAACCGCAUGGUUCAAAAGUGAAAGACGGUCUUGCUGUCACUUAUAGAUGGAUCCGCGCUGCAUUAGCUAGUUGGUAAGGUAACGGCUUACCAAGGCAACGAUGCAUAGCCGACCUGAGAGGGUGAUCGGCCACACUGGAACUGAGACACGGUCCAGACUCCUACGGGAGGCAGCAGUAGGGAAUCUUCCGCAAUGGGCGAAAGCCUGACGGAGCAACGCCGCGUGAGUGAUGAAGGUCUUCGGAUCGUAAAACUCUGUUAUUAGGGAAGAACAUAUGUGUAAGUAACUGUGCACAUCUUGACGGUACCUAAUCAGAAAGCCACGGCUAACUACGUGCCAGCAGCCGCGGUAAUACGUAGGUGGCAAGCGUUAUCCGGAAUUAUUGGGCGUAAAGCGCGUGUAGGCGGUUUUUUAAGUCUGAUGUGAAAGCCCACGGCUCAACCGUGGAGGGUCAUUGGAAACUGGAAAACUUGAGUGCAGAAGAGGAAAGUGGAAUUCCAUGUGUAGCGGUGAAAUGCGCAGAGAUAUGGAGGAACACCAGUGGCGAAGGCGACUUUCUGGUCUGUAACUGACGCUGAUGUGCGAAAGCGUGGGGAUCAAACAGGAUUAGAUACCCUGGUAGUCCACGCCGUAAACGAUGAGUGCUAAGUGUUAGGGGGUUUCCGCCCCUUAGUGCUGCAGCUAACGCAUUAAGCACUCCGCCUGGGGAGUACGACCGCAAGGUUGAAACUCAAAGGAAUUGACGGGGACCCGCACAAGCGGUGGAGCAUGUGGUUUAAUUCGAAGCAACGCGAAGAACCUUACCAAAUCUUGACAUCCUUUGACAACUCUAGAGAUAGAGCCUUCCCCUUCGGGGGACAAAGUGACAGGUGGUGCAUGGUUGUCGUCAGCUCGUGUCGUGAGAUGUUGGGUUAAGUCCCGCAACGAGCGCAACCCUUAAGCUUAGUUGCCAUCAUUAAGUUGGGCACUCUAAGUUGACUGCCGGUGACAAACCGGAGGAAGGUGGGGAUGACGUCAAAUCAUCAUGCCCCUUAUGAUUUGGGCUACACACGUGCUACAAUGGACAAUACAAAGGGCAGCAAAACCGCGAGGUCAAGCAAAUCCCAUAAAGUUGUUCUCAGUUCGGAUUGUAGUCUGCAACUCGACUACAUGAAGCUGGAAUCGCUAGUAAUCGUAGAUCAGCAUGCUACGGUGAAUACGUUCCCGGGUCUUGUACACACCGCCCGUCACACCACGAGAGUUUGUAACACCCGAAGCCGGUGGAGUAACCUUUUAGGAGCUAGCCGUCGAAGGUGGGACAAAUGAUUGGGGUGAAGUCGUAACAAGGUAGCCGUAUCGGAAGGUGCGGCUGGAUCACCUCCUUU